UACGUAGGGUGCGAGCGUUGUCCGGAAUUACUGGGCGUAAAGAGCUCGUAGGUGGUUUGUCGCGUCGUCUGUGAAAUUCCGGGGCUUAACUUCGGGCGUGCAGGCGAUACGGGCAAUACUUGAGUGCUGUAGGGGAGACUGGAAUUCCUGUUGUAGCGGUGGAAUGCGCAGAUAUCAGGAGGAACACCGAUGGCGAAGGCAGGUCUCUGGGCAGUAACUGACGCUGAGGAGCGAAAGCAUGGGUAGCGAACAGGAUUAGA
rnacentral:rRNA from 1 species